rnacentral:lncRNA from 1 species
UUUUUUUUUGUCUUUUUGUCUUUUCUAGGGCCACUCCCGCAACAUAUGGAGGUUUCCAGGCUAGGGAUCUAAUAGGAGUUGUAGCUGCUGGCCAACACCACAGCUCACGGCAACGUCAGAUCCUUAACCCACUGAGUGAGGCCAGGGAUCGAACCCACAACCUCAUGGUUCCUAGUCAGAUUCAUUAACCACUGAGCCACAACGGGAACUCCCUAUCUUCUGAUGUUUUUAAAAAAGAAGGGAGUUCCUGUUGUGGCUCAGAAGUAAUGAACCCAACUACUAUCCAUGGGGAUGUGGGUUCGAUCUCUGGCUUUGCUCAGUGGGUUAAGGAUCUGGUGUUGCCAAGCGCUGCAGUGUAGGUUGCAGACACGGCUCAGAUCUGGCGUCACUUGUGGCUGUGGUGUAGGCUGGCAGCUGUAGCUCUGAUUAGACCCCUAGCCUGGGAACCUCCAUAUGCCACAGGUAAGGCCCUAAAAAGACAUUAAAAAGGGGGGGACCCUCAAAAAAUUUCAAAGAUCCAAGUCUGCUCCAUGGUCAUUUUCUAAAAGUUCAAUCUUUUCACGUUGCUGACCAUUUGUCACAUUGCUUUUCCAGACUGGUAUAAAGCAUAAAGAAAGAAAGCAAAAACAAAAAAAAAACACCCGCAGGAAUUAUGUUAAAAAGAAAAAGAAGCAAGAAGCCCAAAAUGGAGUCACCCGUGCUAAGCCCCGUAGCAACAAACUAAAGCAUGAUACCUAACCUAAGGGCAGUUCUAGCCUCUCCCAGGAGUAGAAUUUUAAACCAAUCAGUCUGGAAUUUACUGAUCCACAUUAGGGAGGUAAUCUGCAAGGCAGACCCCAGCCCUCCCCCGCAAAGGAAGAGGACCUAGCCCUAAAUAAGCCUUUUCAUUCCUUGAAGGCUUCCUUCUCUACCUAUGAAAACCUUCCCUCUGGUACAGCUCUUCAGGGUGCUUUUCUACUUGCUACCUAUUGGGGUGCACCCCAAUUCAUUUAAUAAAUCCAACUGGGAGUUCUCUUCUGGAGCAGUAGGUUAAAGACCUGGCAUUAUCACUGCGUAGGCUUAGAUCCCUGCUGUGCACAGGUUCAAUCCCUAGUCCAGGAACUUCUACUUGCUGCAGGGCCAAAAGACAGAGAGAGAGAGAGAGAAAGAGAGAGAGAAUAGAUAGAGAUAAAAACAGAAUGUGUCCCAAAAAAACCCUUUAAAUCCAAGUAGAUAUUCAAGUUUACUCAGCUGAAUUUUUCUUUUUCAGAAUUAUUUGCCCAUUCAAAAUGUUUUAAGAGUUUCCUGGUGGCUGAGCGGGUUAAGGAUCAGGCACUGUCACUGCAGUGGCUCAGGUUGUUGUUGUGACAUUGGUUCAAUCCCUGGCCCAGGGACUUCCGCAUGACAAACACUCUGAUUACCCUUAUAUGAGGUACCUAGAGCCACCAAAUUCAUAGAGAAGCAAGUAGAAUGGUGGUGGUGGCUGCCAGGGGCCAGGGCCGGGGGUGUAACGGAGAGUUACUGUUUAACGGGUACAGAGUUUCAGCUGUGCAAGAGAUGGAGGAGGAGGAUGGCAGCACAACCAAGUGAAUAUACUAAAUGCCACCGAACUGCUUCCAAAGGUGAAAAUGGUUAAUUUCAUGUUAUGUAUAUAUUACCAAUUUUUAAACCAAAAAUGGGCAAGGAAAAAUGCUUUACAUAGGAAACCAUAUAUGAGAACAAGGUGUAAAGCAAUACUAAUACCCAGGUUUACAAAAUGUGUCAGAAAGGAAAACACGCGGCUCUCACUCAGGUGGAAAGUUCUCACAGCAGCAAUGUGGUACCCUCAUGGAUCUCCGCAGCCUCUUCGUUACUUAGCAACACUUUCUGCCAUCAAAUUCUACAGCCUGCCCACCAUGUUGGCAGGCUUGGUCCACCAGCUGGGUUUUUGCCAAGAGUGUCUUUAAAAAGUCAAACCUUCUUCUUCCCUCGGGACAUCUUCAAAGACAACUGCACCCCCAAAGUAAAUACAACCAAAAGGUCUAUUGCCUGCAUCCUUAUACUGCACUUCCCCCCGAGACAGAGCCCCAACUCCAGCUCCUCCCCCUGCAGCCCUCCUGGAUUCAGGCCUGGAAACCAGAUGCCCAGGUGGGCUUGGUCAGACAUCCUUUCACCCCAUGCUGUCUCAGGGAUUCCAGACACCUUGCAAUCACACAGAAAGGCCAUUUUGCCCCCACCCUGGGCAGCCCCCCC